rnacentral:rRNA from 1 species
GUCGAACGGACUUACAUUGAAGCCUAGCGAUAUGUAAGUUAGUGGCGGACGGGUGAGUAACGCGUGGGUAACCUGCCUUGUACUGGGGGACAACAGUUGGAAACGACUGCUAAUACCGCAUAAGCGCACAGCUUCGCAUGAAGCAGUGUGAAAAACUCCGGUGGUACAAGAUGGACCCGCGUCUGAUUAGCUGGUUGGUGAGGUAACGGCCCACCAAGGCGACGAUCAGUAGCCGGCCUGAGAGGGUGAACGGCCACAUUGGGACUGAGACACGGCCCAAACUCCUACGGGAGGCAGCAGUGGGGAAUAUUGCACAAUGGGGGAAACCCUGAUGCAGCAACGCCGCGUGAGUGAAGAAGUAUUUCGGUAUGUAAAGCUCUAUCAGCAGGAAAGAAAAUGACGGUACCUGACUAAGAAGCCCCGGCUAACUACGUGCCAGCAGCCGCGGUAAUACGUAGGGGGCAAGCGUUAUCCGGAUUUACUGGGUGUAAAGGGAGCGUAGACGGUUUUGCAAGUCUGAAGUGAAAGCCCGGGGCUUAACCCCGGGACUGCUUUGGAAACUGUAGGACUAGAGUGCAGGAGAGGUAAGUGGAAUUCCUAGUGUAGCGGUGAAAUGCGUAGAUAUUAGGAGGAACACCAGUGGCGAAGGCGGCUUACUGGACUGUAACUGACGUUGAGGCUCGAAAGCGUGGGGAGCAAACAGGAUUAGAUACCCUGGUAGUCCACGCCGUAAACGAUGAUUACUAGGUGUUGGUGGGUACGACCCAUCGGUGCCGCAGCAAACGCAAUAAGUAAUCCACCUGGGGAGUACGUUCGCA